GUUAACGUGGCAGAACAUGGCUAUGCGAAAGGCCUAAGCCCUUUACACUAGGGGUUCAAGUCCCCUCGUUAACU
rnacentral:tRNA from 1 species